UCCCAGUUCUUGUGAGUCACAGCAAAGGUACUGAGCAUCUGUUUCAACGUGCCAUUGAAGCAUUCGCACAGGCCAUUUGGUUUGGGGGUGUUAUGGGGAACAGUUCAAUGGCACGUUGAAACAGAUGCUCAGUACCUUUGCUGUGACUCACAAGGACUGGGA